rnacentral:rRNA from 1 species
ACCAGACUUGCCCUCUCAUAGAUACUCGUUAAAGGGUUUAAAUUGUACCCAUUCCGAUGACCGGCCUCAUAAGAGAACGGUCUCGUUAUUUUUCGUCACUACCUCCUCGUGCUGAGAGUGGGUAAUUUUCGCGCCUGCUGCCUUCCUUAGAUGUGUUCGCGAUUUCUCAGGCGAACUCUCCGGAGCCGAACCCUUAUUCUCCGUUACGCGUGAUCACCAUGGUAGUCAGAUACACUACCAUCGAAAGUUGAUACGGCAGAUACUUGAAAGACACGUCGCCGGUGCAAGACCAUGCGAUCAGCUCAGUUACUAUGAGUCAACCAGAAACAGCCGAAGCCGCUUGGUUUUGUUCUAAUAAAUGCACUCUUCCCGUGAGGUCAGAGCUUUAAUGCAUGUAUUAGCUCUAGAAUUACCACAGUUAUCCAAGUAGGAUUGUGUCAAGAUCAAGUAAAUUAUAGCUGUUAUAAUGAGCCAUUCGCGGUUUCACGAUUAAAUCGUUUAUACUUAGACAUGCAUGGCUUAAUCUUUGAGAUAAGCACAUCAGUUCAGGCAGGAUCAACCAG